AUUGCUUUUUCUGGUUAAUCAAGAUGAUGAUAAUUCUUUGAUCUAUUAAUGGUAUAAAUUGCAGAAAUUAAUUUUUUAAUGUUAAGUCAUCUGAACAUUCUUGGAAAUAAUUAAAAUAAUUACUUCCUAGUAUUAUAUUUUAGAUCUUGCUAUUAUUCAUGAAAGAUAAUAUUCUCUGGUUUUCAUUUUUUCUUUUUAUUUCCUUUAGGUGUUGGCACUGAGUUUAAUCGAGCUUCAAAAGAUGAAUUGGGUGGUUCUGCCACCUGCCUCGCAAGCACCAAGGACCCGAGUUCGAUCCCCGGUACCAAAAAAAAAAAAAAAAGAUGAAUUGGGAAACUAUCCUUUUAACUCUAUGAUCCAGAAAAAUGUAAAAAACAUAUCGAAGAAUUAUUUGUAUCUGGAAGUCUUUCCUUAUGCCACUCUUUGGAUCUUUGUUUCCUGGCUGAUGAAAACAGGGCCUUAAACUUUAAGAG
rnacentral:lncRNA from 1 species